ACACACACACACACACACACACACAAAAUAGGGAUGUUGAGAUACCCCAGCUGGCAAAGGCACUUAUUGUCAAGACUGUCAACCUGAGUUUAAUUCCCAAGAUCCACAUAUUGGAAGGAGAGAACCAACUCCUACAAAUCGCUCUCUCAUCUCCUUAUCUCCUGUGUGUGGUGGCAUGCCUCUCUUGCAAUAAAUAAAUAACUGCUCGGAUGUGAAAAGUAAGAGUCUGCCCUUUUGUAUGCAAAUGCAAUUGUCUUCUCAAAUAUAAUGCAGGCAGUGGAUUUAUAAUGUGAAAUCUCAAGAGGAGCUGUUUUAGAGGAGAAUGGCAUAUGUAAUGGCACCUUCUGAUUUCAGAAGGAGUGAGCUAUUGUUUCCAGAUAGUUUUGAAUCUCCCCAAUAAAAGGAGACUGAAAGAAUUUGCUUUUUAGCAUUCCUUAUUUUAGUGUGUAUCAUAAUGAUUAGGCUGUUAAUUUUAGAUGGUGGAGCUUUUAGUCCCUUGUAUUUUCUCUUGCUAACACAGUCAUGCACCUUCUAAAAGAGUGCUCAGUUCUAAAAGACUAAAAGUUCUAAAAGACUCGGUUCUAAAAGACUAUUCAGUUGAUCAGUCUUAUUAGACUCAGAGGUGGUGUUCUCUACCCUUCUGCUAUAGUUCAGCUGAUUUUUUUCCUAACUGUGUUUGAAAAUCAGAGAAUCAGAGUCCCCAAAGUAUUUUUCUCUGUAGUUAUGAAUCCAUCCUUCUGACAACAUGCGGACCUCCUCCCCACUAUGCUCAGUCUUUGUCAGUGAUCAAAUUUCAUCCUUGAAUCUCUAAAUAGAUUUACUUGUAAUUUAUUUUCCUACUUGUCUGUGUUAUUAUUUCUUCAAGGCCCAACUUGAGCAUUACUUUCUUUCAAGAGCUUUCCUGUAUUGUUUACAUUGUUCUUUUUUCUCCUGUGUAUUGGGGUUGUUAACUUCAGCAUCUGUUCUAUGUCUGCAGGUGUGUCCAACUGGUGGCCUCAGGGUCACAUGUGGCCAAUGAUAGCUGUGAAAGUGACCCAAUACAAAAAUCAUAAAAUUACUUAGAACAUGAUGAAAUUUGUGUGUGCAUUAAAUAUAAUUACACAGUUCCUGAGUCCAAAUUUUGUAGAUAACAACAUCAUGUCUUACGUUUCAAAGGUUGGAGCUAGAGGUCUGAGAGCAGAGAGUAAAGAAGACUGGAUUUGACUCACUGUGUCAUCCUUACAGCCACCUCGAUUUGAUAAGUCAGGUGGCCAGCAGGACUCACCAUGUGGUCACAAGAACUGAAUUCAGGGCAGCAGAAAAAUAAAAUAAAAUAAAAUAAAAAAUAAAUAAAUACUAAGAUGACAGUUAGAAGAGGCACAUGGACAAGGUAUAGAGAAAACCUCGUGCAAACUUUCCCCAAAGCAAGUUAAGAUAUGAGCUUGAAAUGUUAUGUACCAGGAAAGCUCGUUAGAGACUGAGUGUGCUAAGGUUUGUGCUGUGUCUGGUCAUGUAGACAUCUUCUGUCUCGUGUACAGCAGCAUUUCAGACCCUCAGAAAGUAAAGCACGUGUUCGGAAUAUGCUGUGUUAUAUAAACAUCUCCUGGUAAGCCACUCCGCUGAGCUCUGGGAAUGACUUUGACCCUCAUGAAACCUAAGUCAGCACUCGCUGGCUAAGGCCGGUCUUCUAAGAGUUAGCAGCCUCAUGCCUGCUAAUGCUUUUUUGCAAAGUGUGCUAUUAUCAUGACCUUUCUGAAAUGCUAUCAGAAGCUGAGAUUGGUUGAUUUAGGAAAUAAAUAGUGCCUUCUUACUAAAAGGUAUUUAAAAUACAGGUAGUUCAAAACCUGUAUGAGAAAUUUAAAAUCACUUGGAACAUCCAUCGCUGUUGUCUGACCUUGUGACAUUCAUAGUCUCAUGAAGUAUUAUUUAUAUGUUAUAUAACAUUUCAUUGUUUUUCUCACAUGCUAGUCCUUUAUUAUACAGGAGAAAGUAACUGGGUUACAAGUCAGAAUGAGAUUUGAGUGGGUGCUGCCGCUCUUCACUGCUCUCAACAGUUUUCUUAUGUGUUUCUAACGGAUUAGAAUUUGUGUAUCUCAGAGGUUCUUAUCUCUGGUAUUUCUGCCUCCUCAGAAAGACUGUUGGGUUAUUUUGCUUAAAAAUUCUUUAUGAUAUUGAAGUAAAAUUCUAUUUCGCUAUUGUUUAAUGAUUCUUAGCCAUCUUAGUUAUAUCUUUUGGACAACUCUCUCUCUAUGUUGGGAGUCAGUGCCUUCUGGGAUUGCCAUCUCUAAUGCCCCCAUCACUUAGAUUAAAGUUGGAGCUUUGCUUUCUUCUGGAGACAUAGGAAAGGUCAAGGGCAGAACUGAGGUUAGUAUAAAUGUUUGCUCUUUCUUCUCAGAACUUUCCUGAGAUUUGGACACCUUGUAUGCUUAAGAUGAUGC
rnacentral:lncRNA from 1 species